CGCAGCUUGGUCUCGCCAUGCACCUGGCACAUCUCAUCCUCACCGUCUUCCUGGGCCAGCUCCUGGUGGCUGAGGCCAGAGCCCAGGUAGAGCAGGAGCCAUUCCUGGAGACCACCGAGGGCACCGGCAUCAACAUCACCUGCUCACAUCCCCAAAUCCAGAUCAGCGAUUGGAUCCAGUGGUACCUUCUGCUCUCGGGCCAAAGACCUGAACUUCUUGCACUCACAGUUAAAGAGACCAAAGACCUGUCGGCCAUUGCAGGAACGCUGUCGGUGUCGGAAGAUCGGCGCUCCAGCGCGCUGUGGCUGGCUGUGCCCCGGCGCGGGGACGCGGCCGUGUAUUACUGCGCGCUGGGGGCCACGGGCAGAGGAGCCGGGGCUGCGGCCGGGCACGAACCGCCGCGGGCGGGGCCGGGCGGGGCCAGCAGGGGCCGCUGCCGCUCCGCCCGCCGGGCUCCCGGGGCGCGGCUCCGCAGCUCCUUCCUCUGCCCCGAGCCCGCCCGCACCGACAGCGCCGAUGGCACCGAAAAGGCCGACACGCUCCGGGCCUGCUGGCCCUCCCUUUAACUACUAUUG